rnacentral:rRNA from 1 species
AGUGGAUGGGGAGCAACCUAGUUGUGCGUGUGUAAAGGUAGUGCCAAGAAAAGCGGUGAUCAUGAUGAAAAUCAAUUCCCGGUACCCGAAACCGACACAGGUGGGCAAGUAGAGAAUACUAAGGGGCGCGAGGUAACUCUCUCCAAGGAACUCGGCAAAAUGACCCCGUAACUUAGGGAGAAGGGGUGCCACCGAGAGGUGGUCGCAGUGAAGAGGCCCAGGCGACUGUUUAGCAAAAACAUAGGUCUCUGCAAACUCGAAAGAGGAGGUAUAGGGGCUGACGCCUGCCCAGUGCCGGAGGGUUAAAGAAGUUGGUCAGUCUUAGGAUGAAGCUAGCGACUGAAGCCCCGGUGAACGGCGGCCGUAACUAUAACGGUCCUAAGGUAGCGAAAUUCCUUGUCGGGUAAGUUCCGACCCGCACGAAAGGCGUAACGAUCUGGGCGCUGUCUCGGAGAGAGGCUCGGCGAAAUAGGAUUGUCUGUGAAGAUACGGACUACCUGCAUUUGGACAGAAAGACCCUAUGAAGCUUUACUAUAGCUUGGAAUUGUGUUCGGGCUUCCUGUGCGCAGGAUAGGUGGGAGGCGUAGAAGGUAUUCUUGUGGGGAUACUGGAGCCAACGGUGAGAUACCACUCUCAGGAGGCUAGAAUUCUAACUUAAUUAAGGACAGUUUCAGGUGGGUAGUUUGACUGGGGCGGUCGCCUCCAAAAAGGUAACGGAGGCGUACAAAGGUUCCCUCAGACUGGUUGGAAAUCAGUCGAAGAGUGCAAAGGCAGAAGGGAGCUUGACCGCGAGAAGUACAGUUCGAGCAGGGUGGAAACACGGUCUUAGUGAUCCGACGGUGCUGUGUGGAAGGGCCGUCGCUCAACGGAUAAAAGUUACUCUAGGAUAACAGGCUGAUCUCCCCCAAGAGUUCACAUCGACGGGGAGGUUUGGCACCUCGAUGUCGGCUCAUCGCAACCUGGGGCGGAAGUACGUCCCAAGGGUUGGGCUGUUCGCCCAUUAAAGCGGUACGUGAGCUGGGUCCAGAACGUCGUGAGACAGUUCGGUCCAUAUCCGAUGUAGGCGUGAGAAUAUUGAGAGGAGCCUUCCUUAGUACGAGAGGACCGGGAAGGACGCACCGCUGGUGUACCUGUUAUGAUGCCAAUUGUAAACGCAGGGUAGCCAAGUGCGGAGAGGAUAACCGCUGAAAGCAUCUAAGUGGGAAGCCCACCUCAAGAUGAGUAUUCUGGUGUAAGGUCACGGGAAGACGACCCGUAAAUAGGCACGAGGUGGAAGUGCAGAGAUGUAUGAAGCCGAAGUGUACUAAUAGACCGUCGGCUUGACC